UGUCAAUUUGAAUGCGCGUUUUCGCACAGAACAAAAAUGUAAACACCAAAUCGGUUUUAAAAUGGAAAAAAAAAAAGUUACAGUAAAGCCAUGUUUAUCAUGCAAAAUUGUUUCGGUUUGUUGCCUCUGCGGCAUUGGCAUUUAUUUGAUACAAAGUGCCAAAUUGUAUAAAGGAAACUCCAAAAUACCUCUGUACAUUUUAGGACUUGGAAGCAUUGGACUAGGGAUUGGCGAAAUAUUUGAUAAAUCACCAUUCAGAACAGUGAGCCAAGAUCAAAGAAAUUGAAGUUGCCGGAGCUGUAUGUAUGAAGGUUAUUUUUUGGGUUUGCCGACGUCUUGUCCUGCAGUUUUUUAUCUCCGACGUUUCGUCCACAGCCGCGGUAGACACCGAAAGUCUGUAUGCGCCGUAACUGCAUCCUAUAGCAUUUGUAGACGAAACGUCAAUCUUAAAAACCUACAGGUUCCUAGCAACAAAACCGGAAAAUAUCUUUGCCACGGCUUGGAUGAGAAGUAAAUCGUGUUUGACUUUUGUAACAUAGCUCAAGAAAAAUAAUAAACACCGAUUUCUUA